rnacentral:rRNA from 1 species
GACGAACGCUGGCGGCGUGCCUAAUACAUGCAAGUCGAACGCACUCUCGUUUAGAUUGAAGGAGCUUGCUCCUGAUUGAUAAACAUUUGAGUGAGUGGCGGACGGGUGAGUAACACGUGGGUAACCUGCCCUAAAGUGGGGGAUAACAUUUGGAAACAGAUGCUAAUACCGCAUAAAACCUAACACCGCAUGGUGUAGGGUUGAAAGAUGGUUUCGGCUAUCACUUUAGGAUGGACCCGCGGUGCAUUAGUUAGUUGGUGAGGUAAAGGCUCACCAAGACCGUGAUGCAUAGCCGACCUGAGAGGGUAAUCGGCCACACUGGGACUGAGACACGGCCCAGACUCCUACGGGAGGCAGCAGUAGGGAAUCUUCCCACAAUGGACGAAAGUCUGAUGGAGCAACGCCGCGUGAGUGAAGAAGGUUUUCGGAUCGUAAAACUCUGUUGUUGGUAGAAGAAUGUAUCUGAUAGUAACUGAUCAGGUAGUGACGGUAUCCAACCAGAAAG